UUUCCUGUGACACACAACCCACACCCCUGACCCUGCUCUCCCACGGUGGAGGCUUUUCCAACUAAGUUAAUAUAGACUAGUAAGAGAAGGUUUACAAAUGAAAGUCAGCUAAACAAAUAUACAAAAAAAAAAAGGGAUUAAAAAAUUUGCCUAAAGCAGCUUUGUAAAGAAGAGCUGAAAUCAUGUCAUCCUUUCAAGAAGUUCCAACAACCAAGGUCAAGCAAGACAGGGGACUGUUUUCAUGUCCAAGGCACAUCUUCCCAAAAAAGACUGAAAUCUGCCUCAGGAACAAGAACAGUGCCCAGCCAUCCUGCUCCUGGUCUUUUGUUGUGAAGUGAAGCUUUGACAUAUAAAUAAAACUAUACUUGAACACAUGUAAUUUCAGGCCAAAUAUGGGUAUGACAAAUCCAUUUGCUGGGCAAGCUGAGUGAAUAAUGAUGGUUAAUUAUUGAUCUGUCAUGAGGUACUCAGAAUACGAAAUAUCAUACAGAAUUAAUUGAAGGAAUUUAAAAACAAAUUUCAAAACAAAAGAACUUGAAAUAUGAACAAGGCAACUCGUGUAGUCACACGCAGUACAGAAAUACAGAUCAGUGGAAAACAUUCUGAACUCUAAUGAAUAUUUGGGCUUUAAAAUGCCUGGCAAGGGAAAUAAUCCUUUACAGAUUGGUAAAAAUAUGCAAGGACUGUUCCAGUUUUCCUGUUAAAAACAACAAUGAGCAAUUAGUGGUGGCAGGCUGCUGCAGACUGGAGCUGCUGCUUUCUCUGGUUCAAGCAGAAGUACUGUGAUAGUCCAGGCAGGCAGGGAGCUAUGGGGAGAUGCAGUUGGAAGGGAUAGAGACAGAAGAACUCUUUUUCUGGGUGAUGAGGAGCCAGAGACAGGGAAAAGAGGUGGGAGCCAAGAGUUCAGAACAAGUAAUGAAACAAAAGGUCAACAUGAAAAACUCUACAUGAUCUUCUCGCUUCACAUCACGCAGCAAUAAAAGAUGGAAGCAGCAGCAUAGUGCAACAUGGGUGUAGUCUGUGAAACAGCACAGCACAGUUGGAACACAGGGUCUGCUUGAUUUCUGACAGCCUAAAUGGAUGCAAUAUCUUUCUCUGCCUGUCCUCUUCCCUGCAGUGAAAAUAGAGAGACCCUGGGUCACCUCGGUAGACUCAAUACUUGCAUGGAUGAGCAGCAAUGUUUUAAAAGUUGCCAGUCUCUCAAAAACCAUCCCUAAAAUUUUGAUUUCUGGUGCUGCAAGGAUGUACUUAAGAUCAAAACUGUGAAGGUACAAAA